rnacentral:lncRNA from 1 species
CAAGGGCUGUACAGUUCCUGGAGCUGGGCAGUCUUCUCAGAGUGGAGCCUGGUAACCGCGACCUCCCCGCCAGUUCCUGUGUGUUGCUGGCUGGAAAGGGGUAGUUGACAAACUCCCACCCAGCACAGUAUUUAUGUCGGUCAAAAAUGGAAAACUAUGUGUCCGGGCACGGCCCAGGAAGGAGGAUUCCUUCAGGCCAAGAGCAGCCUAGCAAUAUGGCGCAACCCCACCUCUGUAGUCCAACCUCAGCCUCCCAGCUACUUGAACCCCAAGAUUCAAGGCUCCAAUGAGCUGUGAUCUCACCACAGCACUCCUGCCUGCGAGACUGAGAGACCAAAGACCAACAAACUACCACAGCCACCAGUUCCGGAACCUGCCAAUGAUGGGCAACGGAAAGUGAGGGAGUUCAACUCUGUUUUCAGAGAAGUGGAAUAAUCAUAUCGCUGAUCUAUGUAAACAAGUUGAAGAAUUGUCUGACAGAAAAUAUGUUUCGCUUUUGUUGUUCUGGCUGGAGUGCAAUGGCGCAAUCUCGGCUCACCGCAACCUCCGCCUCCUAGGUUCAAGCGAUUCUCCUGCCUCAACCUCCAGAGUAGCUAGGACUACAGGUGUGCACCACCACGCGCAGACAUGAACUUGUGAAUUCAACACGUGAAGAUUUACAACUUGAUAAACCAGCUUCAGGAGUAAAGGAAGAAUGGUAUGCCAGAAUCACUAAAUGAAGAAAGAUGGUGGAUCAGCUUUUCUGCAAAAAAAUUUGCUGAAGCCUUGGGGAGCACUGAAGCCAAGGUUCUACUGUACCAAAAAUUUGAAGGCCAUGCGAAUGAUCUGUAUGCGGAAGGACUACCAGAAAACAUUCCUUUCAGAAGUCCCUCGUGGUAUGGAAUCCCAAGGCUGGAAAACAUCAUUCAAGUGGGCAAUCGAAUUAAAUUUCUUAUUAAAAGUAACUCCAGUCAGACUCCAUUGUCUCCAGGUCGACUUUCGUCAUCAUCCACAACUCCUCCACACAAGCCCUGAACACGUGUCCAUCUCAAGCUCUUGGACUCACUGAGGCAGUAAAAGUACCAUAUUCUGUGUUUGAAUCAAACCCCGAGUUCCUGUAUGUAGAAGGCUUGCCAGACAGAAUUUCCUUUCCAAGCCCUACCUGGUUUGGAAUUCCAUGACUUGAAAGGAUCGUCUGUGGAGUAAUAAAACCAAGUUUGUUGUUAAAAAGUAAGUUCCAGGCCAGGUAUGGUGGCUCACGCCUGUAAUCCCAGCACUUUGGGAGGCCAAGGCAGGUGAAUCACCUGAGGUCAGGAGUUCAAGACCAGCCUGACCAACAUAUCUACUAAAAAUGUUAAAAAUUAGCCAGGCAUGUUGGCUGGUGCCUGUAAUCCCAGCUACUUGGGAGCCUGAAGCAGGAGAAUCGCUUGAAUCUGGGAGGCAGAGGCUGCAGUGAGCCCAGAUCACAGCACUGUACUCUAGCCUGGGCGACAGAGUGAGACUCUGCCUCGACAACAACAACAACAAUAUUAAAAAAACCUGAACUAGUUAUUUCCUACUCGCCUCCUGGAAUGGCUAAUAAAAUAAACACUAAAGCUUUGCAGUCCCCAAAAAGACCAUGAAGCCCUGAGAGUAAUGGAAAGGUUCCUGAAAUUGAGGUCACUGUGGAAGCCUCAGCCGAGAUGUCUCACCCCACUCUCUCUGAUGCAACAAGAAGCCCCUGGGGAACGUUUCAGUCCCACUCUGUACUUCUGUCACAUGCUCAUCACAGUCUGAGCCACCUAAGCUGAAGAUUCCCUUGAGAACAAGGGCUAGCCUGUGAUUUCGUGACCUUUCUUCCAUUUGUGGUUCUUGCCAAGUGGAAUUUAAAUGACCUUUUAUCAAGAUGGAUAAACCCAAGUUUCCCAGUGCCAGAAUAUAGAAAAUGGAUGGAUAACUGAAUCUACCAUGAAAGACUUCAGAGUCCAGGAAGAGAGACUGACUGGGCAACAUCUUAUUCAGAAACAGGACCUUGCUGUGUCACUCAGGAUGGAGUUCAGUGGUCCUAUCAUGGCUCAUUGUAGCCUCAAACUCCCAGGCUCAAGCGAUCCUCCCACCUCAUCCCUCCCAGUAGCUGGGACUAUAGGU